GACGAACGCUGGCGGCGUGCUUAACACAUGCAAGUCGAACGGAGUGGCGAACGGGUGAGUAUUACGUGAGUAACCUGCCCUCAACUGUGGGCUAAGCCUGGGAAACUGGGUCUAAUACUGCAUAUUAGGGGAUGGGCUCGAGGCUUAUCAGGUUGUUGGGGGGGUGGUGGCCCACCAAGGCGGUGACGGGUAGUCGGCCUGAGAGGGUGGUUGGUCCUAGGGGGCCGGAUAUACUGCCCAGAGCCCAACGGGGGGCAGCAGUGUGGGAUAUUGCACAAUGGGCGCAAGCCUGUUGCAGCGAUGCCGCGGGAGGGAUGAAGGUUUUCGGGGUGUAAACCUCUUACGGUACAGAAAGGGUAUGUGCAGAAGAAGCGCCGGCUAACUACGUGCCAGCAGCCGCGGUAUUA
rnacentral:rRNA from 1 species